GUGCUCACUUUGGCAGCACACAUACUAAAAUUGGAAUAAUACACAGAAGAUUAGCAUGGUCCCUGAGCAAAGAAGACACACAAGUUCAUGAAGUGUUCCAUAGUGUU